ensembl:lncRNA
GAAAAACAUCACCUACAUCACAAACGCGGAAGUCCGGGACGCAAUACUGAACCUGACUUUGACGGCUCUGGCUCCCAAAUUCCCUCUCUUCCAAACCAGUGACUAUGAGCUGUGGUUCCAAAUUAAUCUCGUGGUCCUGCUGGCCAGCUUCAGUCCUUCAGUUUUGGUGGUGAUCCCCGCCAACCUCACCUGCGACUCUUACGACGCAAUAUUGAAAGGCAUGGAGAACGCUUUGGCGGUUCUCCCAACUGGAGUUGGAGUGGAGCUGAAGUCAAGCAAAGACAAACUUCGACAGUCACCACCAGAAGGCUGCACGCCCCCUCGCCCUGUGGGUUUCGUAAGUACUUCAUUGUCGUACAUGGGUUAUGGGUAAAGUUCAAGCCCAUUAGAAGCUGUACAUAAUGGUUUUCUUAUAUUUUCUUGCUUUGUCUUCCUUCUCGCCAGUGCAAAGAGACAAUAGUGAAUG